rnacentral:rRNA from 1 species
GACGAACGCUGGCGGCGUGCUUAACACAUGCAAGUCGAACGGAAAGGCCCUGCUUGCAGGGUGCUCGAGUGGCGAACGGGUGAGUAACACGUGGGUGAUCUGCCCCUUACUUUGGGAUAAGCCUGGGAAACUGGGUCUAAUACUGGAUAGGACCAUGCUGUAGGUGGUGUGGUGGAAAGAUUAGUUUCGGUAAGGGAUGAGCUCGCGGCCUAUCAGCUUGUUGGUGGGGUAAUGGCCUACCAAGGCGUCGACGGGUAGCCGGCCUGAGAGGGUGGACGGCCACAUUGGGACUGAGAUACGGCCCAGAGUCCUACGCGAGGCAGCAGUGGGGAAUAUUGCACAAUGGGCGCAAGCCUGAUGCAGCGACGCCGCGUGGGGGAUGACGGCCUUCGGGUUGUAGACUCCUUUCGGCCAUGACGAAGCACUUGUGGUGACGGUAGUGGUAGAAGAAGCACCGGCUAACUACGUG